AUUGAACGCUGGCGGAAUGCUUUACACAUGCAAGUCGAACGGCAGCACGGGGCAACCUGGUGGCGAGUGGCGAACGGGUGAGUAAUACAUCGGAACGUGCCCAAUCGUGGGGGAUAACGUAGCGAAAGCUACGCUAAUACCGCAUACGAUCUACGGAUGAAAGCGGGGGAUCGCAAGACCUCGCGCGAAUGGAGCGGCCGAUGUCAGAUUAGGUAGUUGGUGGGGUAAAGGCUAACCAAGCCAACGAUCUGUAGCUGGUCUGAGAGGACGACCAGCCACACUGGGACUGAGACACGGCCCAGACUCCUACGGGAGGCAGCAGUGGGGAAUUUUGGACAAUGGGCGCAAGCCUGAUCCAGCCAUUCCGCGUGCAGGAUGAAGGCCUUCGGGUUGUAAACUGCUUUUGUACGGAACGAAACGGUUCUCUCUAAUACAGGGGGCUAAUGACGGUACCGUAAGAAUAAGCACCGGCUAACUACGUGCCAGCCGCCGCGGUAAGAC
rnacentral:rRNA from 1 species